rnacentral:misc_RNA from 1 species
ACUUUGUAAUGUUGUAAGCGAUUGUAAUGGCGGCAAAUCUAAACAGAAAACGUUGAUCUCCAAUGAUUCAUUCAGUCAGAGACAUAAAUAGCAGUAUUUAUGUCUCUGAUUCAGUAUCUGACUAGAUGAGAGAAAUGGAGGAGAUAUUCAGCUUGUUCAAAACCCAAAGAUAUACACGAUGCUUGAAUAUUUUAAAAACUAUUUCGAAGUCAUCUGUAUUGGAGAAUUAUUUGUGGCAAAACAAUUUGAACACAGUGGAAAUUUCUCUGGGUCUUCUGUCAGGGGAAAUAAACAAAAUCCAAAGUGUUGAAGAUGAAUUUAUGCAUCUGCUACAGAAAAAAAGAUGCAUCCCAGUUACUGAAGAGAUCCUAGUAGCAGAAUUGUGUGUUGUCUGCAAUGUCAUCACUUGUCAUCUUAUUCAAGGCAUUUGCCCUGUUGACCAGUCUCAGGUGUUAUUAUUGCCAUCCAUCCAGAAAUGUUGGAAUCUUACAAAAAAAGAAGGAAAUGAUCACUGUGCUACAGCUGACAUCGAGACAAAAAGAGGAAAUUUGAUCCACGGUCUGAUGGAGAAUCUAAUGAGUUCUGCUCUUAGUGGACCAUUGGGUAGCAUUCUGUUGGAGGCAUGUCUAAGAUGGGCCGCUGUUCUCCUCUUAAACAAAAAUCCAGAAAGAGCUUCCAAAAUUUUGUUUCUUGUUGAUGCACAGUCAAGAACAACAAAUCAGGAGGAACCUGUGUCAGGCUUGCUUCUGCCCCUUGAGGUAUGUUUGCUGGGGGGUGAGGCCUGUUCCCCAGACGCCAGUGUUGUAGAGGAAGUGCACUUGCUCUCUGCUUUGUGUUUGUUUCCAGUGGAGUCUGACAAAUGUCAAGGCCAUCUACAGAAACUGAAAACUCAAGCAUGGCUGCCCUACACUAAAUUGAUGGAAGCACAUUUAGAGUACAAGGCGGAGCGUUACAUGGAGGCCAUCAUUAUUUUGUCUGCAACAACUGCUCUUCCUUUCAAAAUGACCAAAAGGCUAACAGCUCUACACUGCGACCUAUUUGGGAAGUGUCUUUCACAACUGAACAAGCCGCACAGUGCCAUACAGAAAUUCAGGGAAGCAUUAGAUGCCGAUUUUUCCUACCUUUUACCGCUGUAUAACAUAGCUACCCAGUACAGACAACUAGGUCUGAUGGAGGCAGAGUUAGAAGCACUCAACCUUCUUGUUACGGCCAUAGAAAAUAGAGAGAUGAAACCAGAGUCUUCAGAAAGCAUCUUCUUUCAGCACGUAGUAAACAAGGAUAUAGGUUUAACACAGGCGCUGUUUUAUCUCGCCCAGGCCUGUGAAAUCCAUCACAAAUAUGACAUUGCUGCUGAGAAAUAUAUUCAUCUGAUAUCAUUGAUAAAUAACAAUACAUUUGAAAAGAUGAGAGGCUGUGAAAUGUUAAACAUACCAUCCAUAUCUGACAUCUAUAGGUCUACAAUAGUCUCCUUAUUGAAAGCUAAGAAAUAUCAUCAGUGUGAAGUCUUGUGUGAACGUGUGUUGUCAUGCCAACCAACAAGUGUCCUUGACCUUUCAAGCAUCCUUUCCCAGCAUUCUCAGGAACCCACUCAUUCUCAGGAGACUUCUACACAAGCUAGAGCUUGUAUGGGGUCAUUUGCAUUCGGAAACCGUUCCUCUCAGGAGACAUCCAUAGAAGAGUGUAAAGUCUCAUGUUCCCAGGGAAAAAGGAAAAGGUUGGCAUCAUCGGAGGAGAAAUCUGACCCUAGGAAUGAAGGACAGAUGGAGAUGGUUUUUGUUCACCUGUAUAAAGCUGAGGCUCAGGUCUGUCUCAACAAAAUCGAAGAGGCCAUUGAAAGUUUGGAUAUUGUGCUAGAGACACUUAGAAAUACCUGCUCCUCUUCAGAGUCCUCCUCACAAGAGUCCAAGAGACAGAGACUAAGUUCUGAUGGUGCUGCCAACCCUGGGACCUGUUCCCCAGGUUCUGUCUCAUUUUGGAGAGAAGUAGGUCACCAGGCAUCACAUGUCUACCUUUGUUUGGGAAUCCGCCUUGGUCGGCAAAACAAGCUCACGGAUGCCCUACACUUUCUCCGAAUGAGCCUUCAGAUGGAAAAAGGUUAGAUUUCAAUUAUGAAAACCUGACAACCCUGUACAAUUGUGUGGUGGUUCUGUGGAGAUUAGACAGACAAAAGGAAGCCGCCGUGAUGUGGUGCAAGGGGAGACAACUGGACAUACAGGGGGACAGUUUCCAGAUGGCAGGGGUGAUUAAACGAAAAAAGGCAGCCAUAAAGGACACACAAGGAAAUGACACUCCCCUUGAGGUCAAGGCAACAGUUGCUGACCAGGAAACAUUACGACUUGAUGUGCAGUGUUUGGAGUUCCUUUUUCACUGGAGGCAUGGCAGGUGACCGAUGAUUUGUCGUGGAUGGCCAUAGUCCUUUGUUGUCCAGAAACUAGUACAGUUACAUUAAUCAUACCCUCUGGACAAUUGACUGAUAUAUACACUGUACAUGUACAAUGCACAACAUACCAGUAAUGAAACUUGUAACCCAAAAACUUCUCUUGUGUCUGGGUAGGAAAAUUUAUUUUACAGAGAAUUUUAUUUGCAUCAAAUAUUGUUUCCUAUUGCAUUGUUUUGAAUGGAUAUUUUUACUUAUUUCAUUGUUUUGUUAUUAAAAUUCUGUGCAGGCU